rnacentral:rRNA from 1 species
AACCGGAGGAAGGUGGGGAUGACGUCAAGUCCUCAUGGCCCUUAUGGGUAGGGCUUCACACGUCAUACAAUGGUCGGUACAGAGGGUUGCCAAACCGCGAGGUGGAGCCAAUCCCUUAAAGCCGAUCGUAGUCCGGAUCGUAGUCUGCAACUCGACUACGUGAAGUCGGAAUCGCUAGUAAUCGCAGAUCAGCAUGCUGCGGUGAAUACGUUCCCGGGUCUU